rnacentral:lncRNA from 1 species
GCCGCCACCUGCUUCCGUGAGCGCGGGGAGAAGCUGGGCACAGCUCGCUUUACUCCCAGUGGAGGGCGGGAAGGUACCAUAUGGUGCUGAUGUGUCGGAUGCCUCCAUGUGUUGAUUUCAAUCAUUCAACUGGACACAUGGUGAGAGGCUGAACAGACAUGCUUCCUUCCCUCAUGGAGUUUAUAUUGCAAUUGAAUCUGGUUCCGAGACCUUCUGAUUCUGAUUCAGCCUUCUAAGUUCAAACCAAAGCAGAGCAUUUUCAACUUCUUUAAUGAGAAGCAUGUUCAGCCAGCAAAGAAGAAGAAGAAAAAUGGUUAUAGACAAGCAACCAACAGUAUCUGCCAUAGCUAUUUUAUAGCUGUUUAAACUUGGCUGGGGGUGAAAGAUGCCCUUCAGUGUCCCAAAUGAGAGAAGAGAAUUUUAAUUGGGAGUGGCCAAGGUUCACAAUUUCAGCCUGGAGGAAAGUAAAUUAAAGAGGGAAAUUUGGAUACACAAAGAGAUGCCAGGGAUUAACCUACCCAGAGGAAAGGCCACGUGAGGACACAGCAAGAAGGUGGCCGUCUGCAAGCCGAGAGAGGCCUCAGAAGAAGCCAAACCUGCUGAU